rnacentral:rRNA from 1 species
UGGGGAAUUUUGGACAAUGGGCGAAAGCCUGAUCCAGCAAUGCCGCGUGUGUGAAGAAGGCCUUCGGGUUGUAAAGCACUUUUGUCCGGAAAGAAAUCCUUGGCUCUAAUACAGUCGGGGGAUGACGGUACCGGAAGAAUAAGCACCGGCUAACUACGUGCCAGCAGCCGCGGUAAUACGUAGGGUGCAAGCGUUAAUCGGAAUUACUGGGCGUAAAGCGUGCGCAGGCGGUUUGCUAAGACCGAUGUGAAAUCCCCGGGCUCAACCUGGGAACUGCAUUGGUGACUGGCAGGCUAGAGUAUGGCAGAGGGGGGUAGAAUUCCACGUGUAGCAGUGAAAUGCGUAGAGAUGUGGAGGAAUACCGAUGGCGAAGGCAGCCCCCUGGGCCAAUACUGACGCUCAUGCACGAAAGCGUGGGGAGCAAACAGGAUUAGAUACCCUGGUAGUCCACGCCCUAAACGAUGUCAACUAGUUGUUGGGGAUUUAUUUCCUUAGUAACGUAGCUAACGCGUGAAGUUGACCGCCUGGGGAGUACGGUCGCAAGAUU